UACAGAGGGUGCAAGCGUUAAUCGGAAUUACUGGGCGUAAAGCGCGCGUAGGUGGUUCAGCAAGUUGGAUGUGAAAGCCCUGGGCUCAACCUGGGAACUGCAUCCAAAGCUACUGAGCUAGAGUACGGUAGAGGGUAGUGGAAUUUCCUGUGUAGCGGUGAAAUGCGUAGAUAUAGGAAGGAACACCGGUGGCGAAGGCGGCCAACUGGACGAAGACUGACGCUGAGACACGAAAGCGUGGGGAGCAAACAGG
rnacentral:rRNA from 1 species